GGAAUUUGUAUCACGUUUAUAGAUAAUAACUGAGAAGCUAAAAUAUUAAGCAUUUUAAUACCUAAGAUCACAUAUAAGCUCCAAACUGUAACUCCAAAGCCCACAUUAAUUUGGUGGGCCUGGCUUUCAGAAAUAAUGACAGUUUUUUUUUAAAGAAGAGAAGAAUUAAAAAAUUAUCCUGACUAGUUAGUAAUAAUCUUGAGAAGUUUUGAUUUGAAAUCCAGAUUUCUUAUCCACUGAUUAGACAAUAAAAUGCAUACGUAUUGAUAAUGUGUAUGUAACUGGUAGCUGUACGAACAGGGAAGUUUAUACCUGUCUUUGAAAGGAAUCAGAGUGCUCACCGUGUUGCCUGGUGUCUCUAGGUUGGCUGGAGAGACCACAUAGAAUUUGUCAGAAACAGACCUCUUGAAAUCUACCAAUGGCUGGGCCAAGUUAUUACUUCCAUCAAAAUGGAAAGUAAUGAAAUACAUAGCUAAUCCAGGUUGAGGGGAGGCCAUUGACAGACUGAGGUAAUUGUGGAGAUCUGAGAAGAGAAAAGAUAUGGACUAGUCAUCGGAGAGAGCGAGGAACAAUGCAUCUCAGACAGCUGUCAGUGUGGCGAGAAGAACUCUGCUUUCAGGCAUGAAAUCCUUGAAGUGUGGACCCGAAAGAGACCUCAGAAAUUACCUGCUUGUGUCACCCGCGUGACAC
rnacentral:lncRNA from 1 species